rnacentral:tRNA from 1 species
GGGGGUAUAGCUCAGUUGGCUAGAGUGUUUGACUGGCAGUCAAAAGGUCAGGAGUUCGAUUCUCCUUAUCUCCA